rnacentral:rRNA from 1 species
AGGAAGAUGGUAUGGACUGAGUGGCGGACGGGUGAGUAACGCGUGGGUAACCUGCCUUGUACAGGGGGAUAACAGUUGGAAACGGCUGCUAAUACCGCAUAAGCGCACAGCAUCGCAUGAUGCAGUGUGAAAAACUCCGGUGGUAUAAGAUGGACCCGCGUUGGAUUAGCUAGUUGGUGAGGUAACGGCCCACCAAGGCGACGAUCCAUAGCCGACCUGAGAGGGUGAUCGGCCACACUGGAACUGAGAGACGGUCCAGACUCC